UCCGAUAUCGUCAAACCAUUUGUGGAAAGGAGAGAUUCCCAUGACGUCAAUGCCAUGACGGAAACCCACUCCUCGCCCCCUAUAAAUCUGCCCUCCUGCAGCAAUCGUAUGCGCAUCACGGAAAGGAUGAAGAGAGGCGACGUCGUCGUGCACGGCCAUGGAUUCCUCCUCUUCGCGCUGGUCGUCCUUUUCCUCGUCACUUGUUUUCUCCUACCACCGGCUGCCGACGCACGACCGGCUCCGUCGGAGAAGAAAGACAACUCGGCGUCUGCCGAAACUGGUGUAGCGGGAGGCGUCGUCAAAACGUACCCAGCCAUGUCAACCAGAAAACUGCAGUCGCUAGACCCGACACGUGCAGCUGGCACGGUUACCUACUGCGCGUUAAACCCUAAGUGUGUUCCUCCGCCAUGCGGACCAAACGGGGCUUACACCUGCUCGCCACGUCGUCCGCCUCCGCCUCCGCCGCCAUGACAGGCUAUAUAUAUAUCCUGCGGUGGUAUUGAGCUGAAUCGAGAUACGUACGUCCGUGUCGUGCAGAUCCUUGGACGAGAAACAAGUUGAAGAAAGUAGUAGCUAAACAUAAUAAGAAUAAAUUCGCCUGUUUAUCUA